AAAUGGUUGGACUAGGGCCAGAGAUGAAAAGGAUAAAAAUGUGUGACCAUAAGAAGAUAAGGAAUGAUGGGGCGUGUUGUAGAGCAGAGGGAUCUAGGAGCGAGGGUGCAUGGUUCCUUGACGUUGGACUCGCGGGUAGAUAGGGUGGUCAAAAAGGCCUUUGGCACAUUGGCCUUUAUCAAUCAGAUUAUUGAGUAUAGACGUUGGGAGGACAUGUUGCAGUUGUAUAAGAUCUUGAUGAGGCAGCAUUUAGAGUAUUGUGUUCAGUUCUGGGCACCGUGUUAUAGGAAAGAUGUUGUCAAGCUGCAAUGAGUACAGAGAAGACUUACGAAGAUGUUGCCUGGACUUGAGGGUCUGAGCUAUAGGGAAAGGUUGAGUAGGUUGAUAAUCUAUUCUUUUGAGCGCACAGGACGAGGGGUGAUCUUAUAGACGUGUAUAAAAUAAUUAGAGGAAUAGAUCGGGUAGCUGCUCCUAACAUGCGGGCGUUAGUUUAGGGAUACAGCGCGGAAACAGACCCUUCAGUCCGCACCGACCAGCGAUCCCCGCACAUUAACACUACUCUACACAAUACUCUACAACCAAGGGACAUUUUGAAAAAACAUUUAUAUUGAUGCCAAUUAACCAACAAACCUGUACAUCUUUGAAGUGUGGGAGGGAGACAACUGGAGAUCUCGGAGAAAACCCAAGCAGGUCACGGAAAGAACGUAGAAACUCCGCACAGACAGCACCCGUAGUCAGGAUCGAACCGGGUCUGUGGCGCGUUAAAGCAGCAACUUUACCGCUACGGCACCGUGUUUCAUUUUUACCAAAGUACCAAGAUUAUAUGCGUGAACGGUUUUAAACAAGUGAAAGGCGCGGUGCUUUUGAACAAGUGAGAAUAAUGGGGCCAUGAGGUAAAAUCAUUAAAACAACGAAGAGUCCUAUUCCACGAGUCCGCUCUGGGUGAAAUCGAAUUCGCAGAACAGCACGAUCUUGUGGAAGAAUAAAGCGAAGGGCACAUCUCAACUCUGGUUCCAGACCACUGCCGCGACAGUUUUAUAGGUUUACUAAUAACCCCAGUUACAUAUUUAACCGCGUUUCUCACUUCCUGUCUGAACCUAUUCUGGGUCAUCACAUAGAUACAAGCAAAGAUCUUAGAGGGACAAGAUAGACCACUCCUCGAAAAACGCGUAGUAUGACGUGUGUGACCGUCGACGCCAUUUUGUUAAGCAUUUAUUGGGCUUCCCCCACACUGUCAUGGCGUCCUGAUCUAAAUUCCAUCUCACUGCUCUGCUAUCAAGUAUUCUAAUCGUAAAUCUAAACGACCCGACCUGUCAUUCUUUAGGUUCCCCAAUAAAAAAGAAAGAUGUCAACAGUGGGUCCAGAAUACUCAUCGACAAGAUCUCCUGCACCGAACUGCAGAGUAUUUGUCAAAUAACUGCCGUCUUAUGUACAUUGUGUGAAAUUGUGAUUUGUUAACUGCACAAAACUAAUGCAAAUGGCGAUACAUGCCUGCAUUUGGCCCAUACCCCUCUAAACCUGUCCUAACCAUCAAAUAACCUAACAGAACUGUCAUGAGGAAAGAUUUAAAAGACUAGGCUUGUAUUCACUGGAGUUUAGAAGGAUGAGGGGGGAUCUUAUCAUAUUGUUUACAGUGUACUAUGUUUACAGAUUCUGUUGUGCUGCUGAAAGUAAGAAUUUAAUUGUUCUAUCUGGGACAAGCUAGAUGCAGGAAAAUUGUUCUACAUGACAAUAAAACCCUCUUGUUAGAUGCAAGGGGAUCUUAUAGAAACAUCUAAAUGAAUAAAAGGACUGAACAAGCUAGAUACAGGAAAAAUGUUCCCAAUGUUGGGCGAGUCCAGAACCAGGGGCCACAGUCUUAGAACAAAGGGGAGGCCAUUUAAGACUGAGGUGAGAAAAAACUUUUUCACCCAGAGAGUUGUGAAUUUGUGGAAUUCCCUGCCACAGAGGGCAGUGGAGGCCAAAUCACUGGGUGGAUUUAAGAGAGAGUUAGAUAGAUCUCUAGGGGCUAGUGGAAUCAAGGGGUAUGGGGAGAAGGCAGGCAUGGGUUAUCGAUUGGGGCUGAUCAGCCAUGAUCACAAUGAAUGGCGGUGUUGGGUCGAAGUGCCAAAUGGCCUCCUCCUGCACCUAUUUUCUAUAUUUCUAGAACACUCAUCCAGCAAUCCUCGAGCCCACCAGCUCAUCCCGUAGUCAAUUCAUCAGCUUUUCCAUAAGAACUUCCAUCAGUUCUUGCAAAAGAAUGACAAUCAGCCAAUCUCGAUUACCCUCAGCCCAUCAAGCAGUCCCUUAAUUCGCACAGAAGUCUGAACUAUUGAAUGCUCACUGCAUCUCUUUCCAUGUCAGCAAGUUAAUAUCCAGCUGCAUAUGAACCAUGUGAAAAAUGAAUAAAUAGAUGCAUGUGGUGCAGUGAUUUGUGCAGCACUAUAGGCCUGGAGACCAAGAGGAGUUCACCAUUGAACGGAGUUUGAACGGGGGGCUGGAGGCCCCCGACCGAGGAAGAACAAAAGGAAGGGACUUGAACUUUAUUUCGCCUUCCAUCACAGUGAGGAAUGUGUAGGAGUCACUUUGGUGAAUGUCCGUAUUAAAAUGUGUUUUUGAGUGCUGUUGCUUUUAAUUGUAUGACUGACCUGGCCAAUGAAAUUCCUCGUAUAUUGCAAAACAUACUUGGAAAAUAAAAUCUGAUUAUGAUUCUGAAAAGCCUUUCCCUUCCAUACUCUUUCCUCUCUUUGAUCUUUUUGCAGCUGACUGCCUUUCUGUACAUGUUGCAAGAGAUUGUCGCGGCAUCCAGCAUCCUCGGAGAAUGUAGAAUUAAAGGCAGUUUUAAAGAUGGUUAUUUGCCUCAAAAUUGGGUUAUUGUAUCUCCAGAACCUCCCCAGAGGCUCUGGGAGACACAAGGUUCAAGAGGGAA